GUGGGGAAUUUUGGACAAUGGGCGCAAGCCUGAUCCAGCAAUGCCGCGUGCAGGAAGAAGGCCUUCGGGUUGUAAACUGCUUUUGUACGGAACGAAAAGGCUCUGGAUAAUACCUGGAGCUCAUGACGGUACCGUAAGAAUAAGCACCGGCUAACUACGUGCCAGCAGCCGCGGUAAUACGUAGGGUGCGAGCGUUAAUCGGAAUUACUGGGCGUAAAGCGUGCGCAGGCGGUGCUGUAAGACAGGCGUGAAAUCCCCGGGCUCAACCUGGGAAUUGCGCUUGUGACUGCAGCGCUGGAGUGCGGCAGAGGGGGAUGGAAGUCCGCGUGUAGCAGUGAAAUGCGUAGAUAUGCGGAGGAACACCGAUGGCGAAGGCAAUCCCCUGGGCCUGCACUGACGCUCAUGCACGAAAGCGUGGGGAGCAAACAGGAUUAGAAACCCCUGUAGUCC
rnacentral:rRNA from 1 species